rnacentral:rRNA from 1 species
GUUGUAAAGUACUUUCAGCGGGGAGGAAGGUGUUGUGGUUAAUAACCGCAUCAAUUGACGUUACCCGCAGAAGAAGCACCGGCUAACUCCGUGCCAGCAGCCGCGGUAAUACGGAGGGUGCAAGCGUUAAUCGGAAUUACUGGGCGUAAAGCGCACGCAGGCGGUCUGUCAAGUCGGAUGUGAAAUCCCCGGGCUCAACCUGGGAACUGCAUUCGAAACUGGCAGGCUAGAGUCUUGUAGAGGGGGGUAGAAUUCCAGGUGUAGCGGUGAAAUGCGUAGAGAUCUGGAGGAAUACCGGUGGCGAAGGCGGCCC